GAUGAACGCUGGCGGCGUGCCUAAUACAUGCAAGUCGAGCGAACAGAUGAGGAGCUUGCUCCUCUGACGUUAGCGGCGGACGGGUGAGUAACACGUGGAUAACCUACCUAUAAGACUGGGAUAACUUCGGGAAACCGGAGCUAAUACCGGAUAAUAUAUUGAACCGCAUGGUUCAAUAGUGAAAGACGGUUUUGCUGUCACUUAUAGAUGGAUCCGCGCCGCAUUAGCUAGUUGGUAAGGUAACGGCUUACCAAGGCAACGAUGCGUAGCCGACCUGAGAGGGUGAUCGGCCACACUGGAACUGAGACACGGUCCAGACUCCUACGGGAGGCAGCAGUAGGGAAUCUUCCGCGAUGGGCGAAAGCCUGACGGAGCAACGCCGCGUGAGUGAUGAAGGUCUUCGGAUCGUAAAACUCUGUUAUUAGGGAAGAACAAAUGUGUAAGUAACUAUGCACGUCUUGACGGUACCUAAUCAGAAAGCCACGGCUAACUCCGUG
rnacentral:rRNA from 1 species